GGGCUCGUGGUCUAGCUGGUCAUGACGCUGCCUUGACAUGGCAGAGGUCAGGAGUUCGAAUCUCCUCGAGCCCA
rnacentral:tRNA from 2 species